GUAAACCUGCUGCUCCUGUCAUGGCUGCUACGGUCCUGUUUGUACUGAGCAGUCUCAUCAUGGUCACCACUGUCCAAGCUCAAAACUGUUCUCGACCUGAGGAAAGUCCCAACAUCAGUUUCAGGGAAGAGGACAUUAAUAAGGAAACAUUCCCAGA